CGGGCAAUUGCAUGGGCGCAGUGAAAACUUUUUUGGGGGGAGUUUUUUUGGGGGUGUUCAGGCUUCGAAACCUGCACGGGGAGUUUAUGCUUUGCUUCUCAGGGCUCCAGCAAGGCUCCGCAGGGAAGGAAUUGCUGUAUGUAGGGGUGCGGGGCUGGGCGGCACCCGCUGAGAGCCCCGCUUCAGCCGGGCAGGAUUUGAGGACUAUUUAUCAAGUGCCCAGAAAGUGCCCUCAUUGACUCUAAGGACGGGGCUAAAGGACAAACUUGAACCGCGGAAAAGCUCUCCGUUUCCCCUCUUCUACUUUUAAAGCCCUUCUGCAGGCAUCGUUUCCAGCUCCAGGCAGCUCUGGUACGCGGUGCGCAUCGCUCUGGGAUUUCGUUGAGGUUUGUUUUUCCUUCGGAGGAAACCUCUCGUGUUACCAGGGGUUCAACACUUCAGAAAUAAAUAUAAACCCGCAAUCAGACCACAGAACCAAAGAGAAAUCGCAGGCGUCAGACGCUGCCAGUCACCUGCCAGGGACCUGGGGGUUGUGCCCGCUGCUGCUGCCCCCGGUCCUGCCACUGAAAUACUGUGACUCAAGGCUGGCAGGGGGACGCAGGCUGGCACAGAGGUCGCCCCUGAGUUCCCGAAACCACACGCCUGUCCUCGGACUGUCCUUGCGAUUGUCGCACGCCUCUGUCCUGAGGAGGAGGACGAGGGGCUCUCCGGGUGAUGCUCCCCUGCCGUAAGACACGGAGUCAUCCCGGCUGAAGCUCUGAGAUUUACACUCUGACACUUGGAAACUUUUUCUUUAGGAUUAUUCUUUUUGCCAGACACGAGCACUUCUCCCCCGGCAGCCGAGAUGGGAGCUGAUUUUCCCGGUGCCAAACCGCUCCCAGAGACACCCGGCAAGCGCUGAGCGGGGCUCGAGGGGAGCGGCUGAGCCGUCCUCCGUUGGCAACCAGCAAUAAGCGCGCUUGAAAAGCUGCCAGGGAGAAUUAGGAUGGGAGCCCUAUCCUGCAAAAUCAGAUGGUUUAAAGUGUCCUUGAACAGCUGUUAAGCUUGUCGGGUUUUUAUUAUUAUUGUUAUUAUUAUUUGCCGGGAUUUUUAUUUUUUUUUUAACACC
rnacentral:lncRNA from 1 species